rnacentral:rRNA from 1 species
AGCGGCGGACGGGUGAGUAACGCGUAGGAAUCUACCUAGUAGUGGGGGACAACCCGGGGAAACUCGGGCUAAUACCGCAUACGCUCUUAGGAGGAAAGCGGGGGAUCUUCGGACCUCGCGCUAUUAGAGGAGCCUGCGUCGGAUUAGCUAGUUGGUGAGGUAAAGGCUCACCAAGGCGACGAUCCGUAGCUGGUCUGAGAGGACGACCAGCCACACUGGGACUGAGACACGGCCCAGACUCCUACGGGAGGCAGCAGUAGGGAAUCUUGGACAAUGGGCGCAAGCCUGAUCCAGCCAUGCCGCGUGUGUGAAGAAGGCCUUAGGGUUGUAAAGCACUUUCAGUGGUGAAGAAAAUCUUGGGGUUAAUACCUCCGAGUCUUGACGUUAACCACAGAAGAAGCACCGGCUAACUCCGUGCCAGCAGCCGCGGUAAUACGGAGGGUGCGAACGU